UACGGGGGGUGCGAGCGUUGUCCGGAAUCACUGGACGUAAAGGGCGCGUAGGUGGCGUCGUAAGUCUGUGGUGAAAGCCCGGAGCUCAACUCCGGGUCUGCCGCGGAUACUGCGAGGCUUGAGUGCUGUAGAGGGGGGUAGAAUGCCGGGUGUAGCGGUGGAAUGCGUAGAGAUCCGGCAGAAGACCGGUGGCGAAGGCGGGUCUCUGGGCCGAUACUGACACUGAGGAGCGAAAGCGUGGGGAGCGAACAGG
rnacentral:rRNA from 1 species